rnacentral:rRNA from 1 species
GAUGAACGCUGGCGGCGUGCCUAAUACAUGCAAGUCGAGCGAAUGGAUUAAGAGCUUGCUCUUAUGAAGUUAGCGGCGGACGGGUGAGUAACACGUGGGUAACCUGCCCAUAAGACUGGGAUAACUCCGGGAAACCGGGGCUAAUACCGGAUAACAUUUUGAACCGCAUGGUUCGAAAUUGAAAGGCGGCUUUGGCUGUCACUUAUGGAUGGACCCGCGUCGCAUUAGCUAGUUGGUGAGGUAACGGCUCACCAAGGCAACGAUGCGUAGCCGACCUGAGAGGGUGAUCGGCCACAAUGGGACUGAGACACGGCCCAGACUCCUACGGGAGGCAGAAGUAGGGAAUCUUCCGCAAUGGACGAAAGUCUGACGGAGCAACGCCGCGUGAGUGAUGAAGGCUUUCGGGUCGUAAAACUCUGUUGUUAGGGAAGAACAAGUGCUAGUUGAAUAAGCUGGCACCUUGACGGUACCUAACCAGAAAGCCACGGCUAACUACGUGCCAGCCGCCGCGGUAA